rnacentral:misc_RNA from 1 species
UGCUGGAAGCUCCUGCUCU